AGGGGGCUAGUUUAAUGAAAACACUUGAUUUCGGCUUAAGAACUUGUGGUUAAACCCCACAGCCCCCCG
rnacentral:tRNA from 1 species